AUCCAGUGGACGAGUUCGAAAUAGGACGAAAAGUGCAUCCUGGAU
rfam:Schistosoma haematobium scaffold651_12, whole genome shotgun sequence.